rnacentral:tRNA from 2 species
CAAGAAGUAGUUUAAUUAGAAUAUCAGCUUUGG